GCCUGGGUGGCUCAGUUGGUUAGGCAGCUGACUUCAGCUCAGGUCAUGAUCUCGCGGUCUGUGGGUUCGAGCCCCGCACCGGGCU
rnacentral:tRNA from 1 species